AACGCAUCUUGCACUCUUUGGUAUUCCAGAGAGUAUACCUGUUUGAGUAUCAUUUUCCUUUCCUUUGCAUUACUAUUGUUGUGUGAAGGGAUGUGAGGUAUAAAGACAUUGUCUUGGGACUCUGCGCUUUUACCUUUAAAGGCAUGCGAGCUGCUUACAGACGUGAGUAACGCUAGCUUAAAGUGGGUUGUUUGUUUGUUUGUUUGACUUUUUGUUUGCUUGGUUUUUGUUACGUCAGCGACGUAGCGCACCAUCCAUUCAUCUAGCCAUCAUCAAUCAUUCUGGCACUGGAGCUGCGCAAAGCAAGCUGUGAGGGGACACAGGUCGCACGACACACUAUCCAGCCUUGGCUGGUGGCUAUAACAAUCAGUCAGUCUAUGACUACUGGUGGUUGAACAUUUGAUCUCAAAUCAGGUAAGAGUACCCGCUGAACUUAA
rnacentral:misc_RNA from 1 species